AAUCUUACCAAUGAGAUCUUGUACAUUUGAUUCAUGGAAGCCUUGAUCAGCAACUUGACAGUGGUGUAACCAACCUUGUCCCUACAAUUUCCUCUUUGCACAAUUUCUUUUCACCAAGGACAUUAAACCCCAUUAUUUCUGACUUCUUCCCUUCUCCGUUCUGAUCAUUUUGGUUGAGUAAAAUUCCACUAAUAUGCAGUUGUGUCUGUUUAUGU